UACGGAAGGGGCAAGCGUUGUUCGGAAUCAUUGGGCGUAAAGGGCGCGUAGGUGGUUCUGUAUGUCUACCGUGAAAGCGUACGGCUCAACCGUAUUUUGUCGGUGGAAACUGCAGGACUUGAGGCUGGGAGGGGCUGGUGGAAUUCCCUGUGUAGCGGUGAAAUGCGUAGAGAUGGGGGGAGAAUACUCGUGGCGAAGGCGGCCAGCUAGACCAGUUCUGACACUGAGGCGCGACAGCGUGGGGAGCAAACAGG
rnacentral:rRNA from 1 species